GCUGAAUGUGGGGAUAAUUUAUCUUUGUAUUGUAGCUAACGCGUUAAGCACUCCGCCUGGGGACUACGGUCGCAAGACUAAAACUCAAAGGAAUUGACGGGGACCCGCACAAGCGGUGGAGCAUGUGGUUUAAUUCGAUGCUACGCGAAAAACCUUACCACUUUUUGACAUGAAGGUCGUAUCCCUCCUAACAGGGGGAGUCAGUUCGGCUGGACCUUACACAGGUGCUGCAUGGUUGUCGUCAGCUCGUGUCGUGAGAUGUUGGGUUAAGUCCCGCAACGAGCGCAACCCUCAUUCUUAGUUACCAACAGGUAAUGCUGGGCACUCUAAGGAAACUGCCAGUGAUAAACUGGAGGAAGGUGGGGAUGAUGUCAAAUCAGCACGGCCCUUAUAAGGUGGGCUACACACGUGCUACAAUGGCAACUACAAUAGGUUGCGAGACCGCAAGGUUUAGCUAAUCCAUAAAAGUUGUCUCAGUUCGGAUUGUUCUCUGCAACUCGAGAGCAUGAAGUCGGAAUCGCUAGUAAUCGUAGAUCAUCACGCCACGGUGAAUACGUUCUCGGGUCUUGUACACACUGCCCGUCACGCCAUGGGAAUUGGCUUAACUCGAAGCUGGUGUGCUAACCGAAAGGAAGCAGCCA
rnacentral:rRNA from 1 species